rnacentral:lncRNA from 1 species
AGUAAUCUAGAGGUGAUUUAAAGUCUACGGAAGGAUGUGCAUAGGUUAUAUGCAAAUACUAUGCCAUAUUAUAUCAGAGCAUCUGUGAAUUUUGGUAUCUCUGGGGUCCUGGAACCAAUAUCCUGAGGUUUCUAAGGGACAACUGUAUUCAAUUUCUUCUCUGGUUAUUAGUCUAUUCUCUAAUGUAUUUUUGUUGUUGUUUUGUCUUUUUGUUUUUGCCUCUUCAAGUCAAUGUCGGAAACUUAGUUGUUUUAGACAACCCAUUAGCUCAGAGCUACCAGUAAGCAGACUACCACUGCAAUCUAAGCAACGGAUUUUUUCCCCCAUCAGACUGGCAAAAAAUAAGCAUCUAUUGAUGUUGAAAUUGUAGGGAGUUUUCCUGAGCAUGUUAAUUAUGACAGCCCUUUUUGCUAGGCACCUACACAAUUCAUCAAAAUGAAAUAAAACACCCAUGCACUUGAAGAAGUUAUCUGGUUAUUUCCUUAUCUGGGUGCUGGUUAUGUGAGGUCUACAGUUAAUGAACACUUAUUAAGCUUUAUAUUUCUAAUAGGUACAAUUUUCUGCAUGUGUAGUAGAUUUCAAUAGUUUUUAAAAUGUCUUUUGCCGCAGCCCGCAGCUGUGUAUAAUGCUAUUCGCUUAACAGUGGAAAACAUGGCAAUGACCUGAAUCCCCCUGGCUCCCGGGAUCCUACCCCCUUAAGUUAAACAAAUGAAAUAACUUCCACUGUCUUUCCUAAUGUCUUAAUUCGGUCCUCAGUUAAACUGGCGGUGGGCGCUGCUUUUUUUCCAGGGAAGGAUUCUGGAAGACAUAGGAGGAGACGCCAGCAUUUCGCCCUCCAGCACCUCCUGCGGGCUGUGGUCCGCUUCCGGCCUCACUCGAGCAGACCCCGCCCUCCCAGAGGCCGUUUGUCCAAGUCACGUGAUCGUCGAAUCUGUUGACCUGGCGCCACCGGAAAAAGAAAUUCCCGGGCCCUGGCUUCUUGGCCUGAUGGUGCUAAAGUGGAGGGCCUCCCAUGGGGUGUUCAGCCUGGGUGUGUAGAAGCACACAGUGUGGUACAGAGGACCCUCUCCAGACAGGUAAGUGGAGGGCGGUUCUCCCUGACCCCACCCCAAUUGUUUGUUCUGGGUGGGGUCCACCGCGCCCCCUGCCAAGGCCUUCUGCAAACACUCCCCAGGGGCUGUUGUGGGCAGCACCUGGGUGGUGCAGUUGGUGUGCCAGAAAAGCUCCCCAGUACUGGGCAGUGGCCCAGGCAGUCAAGCAGACUCCCUCAAGCAGGCCCCACCUACCCCUCGCCUGUUCCCAGCUGCCUCCCACCAACCCUAGAAAUGAUGCUGGGAGCUGACAGAAACUGAACUUAGGAGCACAGGAGGCCAGGAGACCUGGGACAGAGAACAGGAGGUGACCCCUCAUGCUGCUGCUCCCUCUGCUGAAACCCAAACUGCAAACCUCUCCUCUCCCUGCCUUCACCUUGCCCCACGGCUUCCACAGACAGUGCCUCAACCCCGAGGAAUGAAUCCGAAGUUCCAACACCACUGACUUUCCCAGGAACUCAGAGCCAGAGAGGGCCAAGGACCAGCUCGAGGACACACAGCCAGGGCUUCUUCCCUCCGAAACCCCCAAGGACUGGACUUGCAGGGCUGGGACAGAGGUGGGGUGGGGGAAAGCAAUGCCUUGUCAACCCACGUGGGGAGCCCCACUCCCAUCCCCAAGGUGCAUAAAGUUGAGGAACACCCCUGCU